GAAGCCCGGGGGUUCUGCCUUUGCGCCUGCGUAGUUUGGCCGUGUCGCCGGCAGUUUGGUUUCCGGAGCAGGUUAAAAGGAUCCCAUCCAGGGUACUACAUUACAUCGCAUUGUCAUGUCUCCUUAGUCUCCUCUGGUCUGUGACAAUUACUUAGACUUUCCUUGGUUUUCAUGACAUCGAGAGUUUUGAGAGAUAGAGACAGCCAGCGAGAGAGGGAACACAAGCAGGGGA